rnacentral:rRNA from 1 species
GUAGGUGGCAAGCGUUGUCCGGAAUUAUUGGGCGUAAAGCGCGCGCAGGCGGUUCUUUAAGUCUGAUGUGAAAGCCCACGGGCUCAACCGUGAGGGUCAUUGGAAACUGGAGAACUUGAGUACAGAAGAGGAAAGCGGAAUUCCACGUGUAGCGGUGAAAUGCGUAGAGGUGUGGAGGAACACCAGUGGCGAAGGCGGCUUUCUGGUCUGUAACUGACGCUGAGGCGCGAAAGCGUGGGGAGCAAACAGGAUUAGAUACCCUGGUAGUCCACGCCGUAAACGAUGAGUGCUAAGUGUUAGGGGGUUUCCGCCCCUUAGUGCUGCAGCUAACGCAUUAAGCACUCCGCCUGGGGAGUACGGCCGCAAAGGCUG